ACUCAAAUGAAUAGACGGGGGCCCGCACAAGCGGUGGAACAUGUGGUUCAAUUCGAAGCUACGCGAAAAACCUCACCAGGGUUUGACAUACAGGAAGUAGGAAACUGAAAGGGGACCGACCUGUUAAAUCAGGAGCCUGAACAGGUGCUGCAUGGCUGUCGUCAGCUCGUGUCGUGAGAUGUUGGGUUAAGUCCCGCAACGAGCGCAACCAUUAUCUCUUGUUGCCAUUCGAUUUUGCCGUAAGGUAGAGUCGAAGCACUCUAGAGAGACUGCCUGGGAUAACCAGGAGGAAGGUGGAGAUGACGUCAAGUCAGUACGGCCUUUAUGCUCUGGGCUACACACGUGUUACAAUGGCCGCAACAGAGGGUUGCCAACCCGCGAGGGGGAGCUAAUCUCUAAAAAGCGGCCUCAGUUCAGAUCGAAGUCUGCAAUUCGACUUCGUGAAGCCGGAAUCGCUAGUAAUGGCAGAUCAGCACGCUGCCGUGAAUACGUUCCCGGGCCUUGUACACACCGCCCGU
rnacentral:rRNA from 1 species